GAUGAACGCUGGCGGCGUGCCUAAUACAUGCAAGUCGAGCGAAUGGAUUAAGAGCUUGCUCUUAUGAAGUUAGCGGCGGACGGGUGAGUAACACGUGGGUAACCUGCCCAUAAGACUGGGAUAACUCCGGGAAACCGGGGCUAAUACCGGAUAACAUUUUGAACCGCAUGGUUCGAAAUUGAAAGGCGGCUUCGGCUGUCACUUAUGGAUGGACCCGCGUCGCAUUAGCUAGUUGGUGGGGUAACGGCUCACCAAGGCAACGAUGCGUAACCGACCUGAGACGGUGAUCGGCCACACUGGGACUGAGACACGGCCCAGACUCCUACGGGAGGCAGCAGUAGGGAAUCUUCCGCAAUGGACGAAAGUCUGACGGAGCAACGCCGCGUGAGUGAUGAAGGCUUUCGGGUCGUAAAACUCUGUUGUUAGGGAAGAACAAGUGCUAGUUGAAUAAGCUGGCACCUUGACGGUACCUAACCAGAAAGCCACGGCUAACUACGUGCCAGCCGCCGCGGUAA
rnacentral:rRNA from 1 species